AACGAACGCUGGCGGCAUGCCUAACACAUGCAAGUCGAACGAGACCUUCGGGUCUAGUGGCGCACGGGUGCGUAACACGUGGGAAUUUGCCUCGGGGUAUGGAAUAACUCAGGGAAACUUGAGCUAAUACCAUAUAAUGUCUUCGGACCAAAGAUUUAUCGCCCUGAGAUAAGCCCGCGUAGGAUUAGCUAGUUGGUGAGGUAAAGGCUCACCAAGGCGACGAUCCUUAGCUGGUCUGAGAGGAUGAUCAGCCACACUGGGACUGAGACACGGCCCAGACUCCUACGGGAGGCAGCAGUGGGGAAUAUUGGACAAUGGGGGCAACCCUGAUCCAGCAAUGCCGCGUGAGUGAUGAAGGCCUUAGGGUUGUAAAGCUCUUUUGCCAGGGAAGAUGAUGACUGUACCUGGAGAAUAAGCCCCGGCUAACUUCGUGCCAGCAGCCGCGGUAAU
rnacentral:rRNA from 1 species